ACCGGUGUGGCGCAGUGGUAGUGCAACUGCUUUCAGCGCAGAAGGUCCCGCGGGUUCGAUUCCCGGUUGAGGCA